rnacentral:rRNA from 1 species
AUUGAACGCUGGCGGCAGGCCUAACACAUGCAAGUCGAGCGGGGUUUUCGGACCUAGCGGCGGACGGGUGAGUAAUGCGUAGGAAGCUGCCCGAUAGAGGGGGAUACCAGUUGGAAACGACUGUUAAUACCGCAUAAUGUCUACGGACCAAAGUGUGGGACCUUCGGGCCACAUGCUAUCGGAUGCGCCUACGUGGGAUUAGCUAGUUGGUGAGGUAAUGGCUCACCAAGGCGACGAUCUCUAGCUGGUUUGAGAGGAUGAUCAGCCACACUGGAAAUGCGACACGGUCCAGACUCCUACGGGAGGCAGCAGUGGGGAAUAUUGGACAAUGGGCGCAAGCCUGAUCCAGCCAUGCCGCGUGUGUGAAGAAGGCCUUCAGGUUGUAAAGCACUUUCAGCGAGGAGGAAGGGGUGUGUGUUAAUAGUACACACCUUUGACGUUACUCGCAGAAGAAGCACCGGCUAACUCUGUGCCAGCCGCCGCGGUAAUAC